CAUUGCCCAUGGCAGGUUAAAUGAUUGCAAAAAACAUGUUGAGGUUGGGAUGUCUGGAGUUGAGCUGAGCAGAGCACAGUAGCCUAAUGGCUUCAUCGCAUCAAUAUCAAGAGAAGAUAAGCUUGAUCAUUGUGGACCCAUAUCUAAUAGAUCCAAUUAUUGUCAACUUACCCCGAUAUUUAUAGCCUAACUGUCUUGUUCAUACAGCUGCAUACACAUUGCAGGAGCUGAAGGCGUUCAAGUCGCUUGGGUCAAUGGGGCACAUUUGUUCCACCAACGACAAUGUCUAACAUUGCCAUGAUUGCAGAGGUAUUAAAGGAAAAAUCCGGUAUUUAGCA